GUCUCUGUAGCGCAAUUGGUUAGCGCGUUCGGCUGUUAAUCGAAAGGUUGAUGGUUCGAGUCCAUCCAGGGACG
rnacentral:tRNA from 1 species